rfam:Termitomyces sp. J132 unplaced genomic scaffold scaffold276, whole genome shotgun sequence.
GUCCCUGUCGAUUAGUGGUCAAAUCAUCUCGUUGUGGUAGGAAUUGCUCCGAGAAGCCGGAAGUUCGAAUCCUCCCAGGGACA